rnacentral:lncRNA from 1 species
UCCAUUCACAUUCCCUAAGAAAAAAAGGGCAUGCAUCCAUUUCAUUGAAGUGCAGAAAAUCUACACAAAAAUGGUCAUAAAAGAACUCAAAUAAGCAGGAUAGCUACUCCAUCCGGGACACCAAUAGAUGGCCAAAAUCAUAGAAAUAUUUUUUCUAUUACCAUAUCCAUAAAGCAGUUUUUGUUCACUUAUAUACUUAUUCAAGAGAACGCAGAGUACAAUGUUGAAAAUAAUAAUGAUCUGAAUGUAGUAUGAUUUCAUUUUUUUCUCAUCCACAUUAGUAAAAUCUUCAGUGUUCAUAUUCGGUCUUUCAAUCAAAUGUUCAUAUUCGGUCUUUCAAUCAAAUAUUCUUACACAUUCAUCUGACUUUUUUUUUUUACCACAUUAUUGAUCGACCAUCAAAUUACUGUGAAAAUGCCACAAUCAAAAUGGGUUUCUAUUUUUCAUCCUUAUCUAUGCUUCUUAAACUUUUGAACUGUAAGUGUAUAAUUGGUAAACUAUUUCCUGUCAGAAAUUUAAAUAUGGUGAAAAAAUGCCAGCCUUUUCUUAUUAAACUCAAAGUUGCAGUUUAAAUGCAAGAAAAUCAUAGAAAGCGAAUGACAUUUACAGCAACGUACCUCUAUUCAGAUGUCCCAAUAGCCAUUAGAGCAACGCAAUUAAUCAACAGGGAACACUGCUACAUUCGGAGGAAUGGUAUGAAUCCGUUGGAGAAAGAAAGGCAAAGGCGGGAUCAACUAAAGAAAUUUCUUGGAGCUCGAAAGACUUCGUGCUCCAAGAGCGACAACCCGUAAGCAAAAAUAAAAUUAAAAAACAAA